rnacentral:rRNA from 1 species
UACGGAGGGUGCAAGCGUUACUCGGAAUCACUGGGCGUAAAGGAUGCGUAGGCGGAUAAUCAAGUCAAAAGUGAAAUCCUACAGCUCAACUGUAGAACUGCUUUCGAAACUGGUUAUCUAGAAUAUGGAAGAGGCAGAUGGAAUUAGUGGUGUAGGGGUAAAAUCCGUAGAGAUCACUAGGAAUACCGAUUGCGAAGGCGAUCUGCUGGGACAUUAUUGACGCUGAGGCAUGAAAGCGUGGGGAGCAAACAGG